rnacentral:lncRNA from 1 species
AGACAGGAAAAACACCCAAAAGGUAAAGGCCAGGCUGGUUCAUGCCGGACACCUAACCCCCUGCUACCACAUGCUGUUUUCCACACUGGGUGCUGGCCUGUGGGAACCUGCACAAGUCGGGGGCAACAUGGUCCCAGGAAGUCUUUGACAGGCUGCCCCCUGCUGGCUGCUGCGGGAACCACAUGGCAGAUGGCUCCUGGUGUCCCCUGGAAGGUCUUGCUCUGUCACCCAGGCUGGAGUGUGUGGUGCGAUCAUGCCUCACAGCAGCCUUGACAUCCCCAGGCUCAGAUGAUCCUCCCACCUCAGCCUCCUGAGUAGCCGCGACUACAGGCGCAUGCCACCACACCCAGUAGAGACGGGGUUUCACCAUCCACAGGAUGGUCUCGAUCUCCUGACCUUGUGAUCCGCCCGCCUCAGCCUCCCAAAGUGCUGGGAUUACAGGCUGAGCCACCGCGCCCGGUCGCACCCCAACUUUAAAGAUGAGGGUCGGUGCAGGACAGAAUACAUUUCAGCUCCAAAACCAGCAUUGUCUUUAAUGGGGACUCCUAGAGGCAUUCCCACCAAGUUAGGAACAAGACAGCACGCCCACUGUUACCAGCGUAAAUCAACAAUGUACCGGAGGUGCUAACCCACACAAUAAGGCAACAUCUCCAGCAUGAAGCCCACUGGCCUCAUGUCUGUACUUCUGGAGUCCAGGUGAGCAAAGGUCACCUGCCCACUGGACUUGGCCCACAUGGACUACACCUGAGCCACCAAUCCUCUUGGAGGCCUUCUUGCCUCUAUUUGCUGCAUUCCUUCUUCUCCCCUUUGGACUGCGAGCUCCUCAAGGGAACAGCCUAUAGCUUCCUAUUCAUCUCCCACUCACCCGACCUGCCACACUGGCCAGCCCACUGGAUGGGAGGUAACAGUGUGCUGGACAUUCUGAGGGCUGCAGGGGCCUCCUGUGGACCCUGCUCUCUUGCAGGUGACCCAUCAGUGCGCUGUACUUCUACAAAUUGUUGGAAUGGAGACUUUUUUUUUUUUCUAAGUUAUUUGAGUCAAAACGAUCUUGACGGGAAGCUGUUAGAGGUCUCAUGGAAAUAGGCCUGGAGGACAGGAUUUGGCUGAGGCUUUCAACUGACAUCAGACAAGACUGCAAUCAAGGGAAAGCAGACCUGGGGCCCACGGGCAAUCACAUGGGAUGAGAAAUACCAAAGAAUGUGACCAUCCAGGUAGCCGGGGGACACAGCUCCAAAAAAGUGAGAGUGGUGCUGGAUUAGCUCCAUUGGAGGAACUGGAGGUUCCAUUGGAUGGUGCUGGAUUAGUUCCAUUGCCGUUUGGCAAACCAGCUCUGCUUUUGUGAUACCAGCGACAGAACUCUGCAAACAUCUCUGCUUCGCAGCUGGCAUCCUGUUGGAUUUUUCCAGUAGAGGGAAGCUUCCAUGCUGCAGGAAGAAGGGGCGUGCUCCUUCCCGUUCCUGUCAGCACUGCUGCAGCAGUUUGCUCUCACAGCUGCAUGUGAUCCCAGCUGCCAUUUCUGACCUGCUCAGAACCAGCUUCAUGAUGGGCUCAAAGACCCAGGACCAGGUGCUCUUGUGACUUCUCUGACUUCAGUCCUUCUGGAGUCAGAUCACCCAGCUUCUCUGAUGAGUGACUGGUCAUUUUUAAAGCAUGCCUGCAGCAGUCUUCAAGAGGUUUCUGCCUGGGCAUCACAAUCAGCACACAUUUGCUCAUACACAUACCAGCUCUGGCAUGUACACGUGGCCACGGUACCCUUCGUACAACACGGGAAGAGAACAACAGGACGCCCAAGAGGCAUCUGGACAGCACACAGCAAACAGAAAGGCUGAACGCCCCCCCAUGGAACCCCAUUAAAAAACAAUGUUUGUCUAUUACAAAGUCACGUUUUCCGUUUUUCCGCUUUAUAAAGUCAGCGAUGCUGGAGGGUGUCUAGCGGAAUCCGUCCUCCAGGAAUGAGUGCAAAAGGAGAGCGCACGGCUCAGGGACGUCCCUUCAGUGAGCAAUGGAAGGACUGGCUGGAGGCCUCCCAUCCAUUUCGGACAAACACACACAUACAGAAAAGGAUUAUUGCCAGCUUGUGU